rnacentral:lncRNA from 1 species
CUCCCCACCCACCUCUCUCUUUGUUUUGUUUUCAAGAUAGGGUUUCUUUGUGUAAUCCUGGCUGUCCUGGAAAUCACUCUGUAGACCAGGCUGGCCUUGGACUCAGAAAUCUGCCUGCCUCUGCUGCCUGAGUGCUGUGAGGAAAGGUGUAUAUCACCACUGCCCGGCUAACCUCACUCACUUGAGGUGGCCUCUCUGUUCCCGAGGGCACCUUUCAGGAACUCUGAUUACGUUACCAGUUGCUCCUUUACCGGCUCUCCAAAUCCCUGUUGUGAGGAAGAGAGUGUCCUGCUCGUGUUUCACCUUUGGUCUCUCCUCAAGAUGCUGUGAUCACAUACUAUGAAGAUUCAAGGGGAUGGUUAAUUCCAGUGAUUUGAAUUUAAUGCGAUGCUAUGCAACUUACAGAAAGCAUGAAGCUGAUUUGUAUGCACAGACGUGGGAGAAGUAUGGGGACAAAUGGAGUGACAGAAGCGAGCUGCAGCACGGCAUGUCUAAUAGGAUGCAGCGUGUGCGCAUGCGUGUGCCGGAGGCCAGGCUGGGGAAGGUUGUCCGCGGAGCUCUGGAGACAAGAAUGACUUGGGGUGGGGAA